AAAGACAGCAAUGCCUAAAUACCCUAAAGGCAUCAGAUCUAAUCUGAGUUUAGAAACUAAGCCAAGUCCUGGUUAGUACUUGGAUGGGAGAUUGCCAAUGAAUACCAGGUGCUGUGUGCU
rnacentral:rRNA from 11 species